UUAUUUGCCGGGACUGGAUUACAAUCAACACAAAUUGAUGUAAAUCCACAUUGGUAUAAUGCAAAUAUUGUUGCCGGGGGAGCAGGUGUCCUGCUGAACAUGGAUAAGGUGUCCAGUCUUCAGGAGCAGCUGGGUGCAGACGCUCAGGUGCACAGCCUUGUUGACUAAGGCUGGUUUCUGGAGAGUAAACAGCAAAAAGCUUCUGAUUGUCCAGACAGUGCCUCCUGCACCCCUGUGGAUGCUAUAAAAAUGUAUUUGGUAAAGUGUACAUGCUAAUCACAGUUUACCAGAAUAAUGAAUAUGUCGUUUUGGUCGCAAAUUAAAUUAGCCUAGCUUCAAUAUUACACAAAUCCAUUUUUAAUUAAUUAAUUGCAUUAGCAAUAACCAUAACUUCCCUUCUAAAAAGAUGUAUACUUCAGCGUACUUUUAAAAACAGUACUCACUAUGCAAAUAAUGCACUUUAAAAGAACAUACUUAAGUGUGAACUGAAUGUAAUGUUUUCUGACACUUAACUGCAUGUUAUUUACAAUUAAAUGAAAUUUUUUUUACCCAUUAUAAGGUGUGCUUGUGUAAGGCAAACAGGUCAAUUUAGCUCAAAGGGAAUCAUUUAAGAUUUUAAAGGGAAUUUGGACAGAACGGUCAGCGAUUCAUUGAACGAGCGGUAUAACAUCAGCUCUACAAUGGAUAUUAAUAUCCAAAGUAUAGUGAAAACACUAGUAAUUAGCAUGCACAGUAACAAGAUCGACAGUUUAAGACAUUAACUUGUAAGCACGAAACACAAGAUACUUCUCUUUUCAAUAUGAAUAAGGCUUGAUUAGAUAAAUCUAAGACAUAUAAUCUAAUCUAACACAUAAGCACACACACUCACAAAUUCACAGUUGCAGGUACAUAGAAAGUUAGAAAAGGAUAAGUUUAAUAGAAGGAAAAUGUGAAAUCCCAAGUUUACAGCAAUAUGUGGAAUUGCAUAGACAUGAACAACCAUCAAUCACUUAAUUAACCCUGGCAUUGAGUUCCUCAAUUAUAUUAAAUACACCAGUUUAGCUCCGUCUGGAUGUACGAUACUUUUGUUUACUAUAUGUAAAGGGGUUCCCUUUGUUGUUGUCAUUGAAAAGGUGGUUUCCCGAGGUUACUGAUUGGCUGGAAGUUCAGUAGUCGCUGAAGUGACGUCUUGGGAAGCCCG
rnacentral:lncRNA from 1 species